UUUGGAGGUAUUGUGAUGGUGGUGGUGUGGGUGGAGGUGUCUGGACGACUUACUGCGGUCUUUCCCACUGCGAUCCAUCCGCUCUCUCAUUUCUUCCUGUCUGUUGCCGUCAUCGUAGUGGUUGCUGUGUUGUUGUAAGUGGUGGGAAUGUCCCCGUUUAUCACCUCCAUUCCUGUCUGUCCUGCCACCGGCAUGCCUCGGUUGACAAAGCGGUCUGCGCGCGCUUGCCUCGCACUCAUCGCUCCAACACGGCUCGUCAGGUACACCGCUACCUCCUUCGGGUUGAUGAUGGUGACUGCGGUGGCUGCGCGAUCCAUGAUGCUCGGAAUGAUGUGCGGAUCUGCGACUCACCGGUACCGCUGAGGAUCUCAACAGAGAGGUCGUAGAUUCGCUCUUGGGAAGAGAGGAGCUCAUUGCCGUGUGCCGUUCUUUUUACCUUAAUGUAUUACUUUGUGCAGAUACCAGGACAAGACUGAAGGUCGUGUGAAGACAGUUGCAGGUGCUGGGCAUUUAGACGGUAUACUGUGUAGUCAGGGCAGUCUAUUGGAUCCCCUCUCAGUAACCUAUUCGUGCGUCUCUACAGCCUAGGCUACAGUGCAAAUUAGGAACACCCACCCACUGCGAAAUGAUAAAGUUCUGAAUGCCACCUGCUCGCUCUAUUGUAUAGAUGCGAGGCUACGUGUCAUACGAAGUGACGAAUCAGUCGCUUCUAUACACGCGCAGAACGCAUCAGUGAAUUUGGGUGGCUUUGGAAAGGGACUUUAUAGUUGCCUGCUAUGCGGCGUGCCGUACACUGUCCUCGCGCAAAGUUCGUUAGGUCCCGCGUCACCACAGAUUAUAAUGAAUCGUAAAAGAACCGUAUAUCAUUAUAAUUAGUCACUGCUUUACUCAUUCAUCCCGACCCCGGGGGGCCAUGAGGUUGAGCAUCACAUGAUGUGAAGCAAGAUAAUAGUAACUCUAGGAGGACCAUUAGGAAUUGCCAUCCUACCAGAGUAAAAAGCAACAGCCUGCAUGGAAUUCCGACCAAACUCCCCAUCCCCAGACCCUUCGAACCAUCUUCCAACUUUCCAUCCAUCCUAUAUAUAGUCUACUCUAAACAUUUUCAAAAUAUCUAUCUGGUGAAACCCUAUUGCUCAAUGCCAUCAAAACAAAAAUCUAUAUAUUUAUUUUCCUCCACAAUGUCUAAAUAGGCUAUUACCACUCCUGUUGGCAGUUGGCUCAUUCUCAAGUGGCCUCUGUCUUUCUCUGGCCUCUCUCUCACCCCUAGUGUUCUCCCUCCCUCCCUCC